UUCGGCCCUUGCGUUAUCAGAUGAGCCUAGGUCGGAUUAGCUAGUUGGUGAGGUAAUGGCUCACCAAGGCGACGAUCCGUAACUGGUCUGAGAGGAUGAUCAGUCACACUGGAACUGAGACACGGUCCAGACUCCUACGGGAGGCAGCAGUGGGGAAUAUUGGACAAUGGGCGAAAGCCUGAUCCAGCCAUGCCGCGUGUGUGAAGAAGGUCUUCGGAUUGUAAAGCACUUUAAGUUGGGAGGAAGGGUUGUAGAUUAAUACUCUGCAAUUUUGACGUUACCGACAGAAUAAG
rnacentral:rRNA from 1 species